CACGUAGUUAGCCGGUGCUUAUUCUGCAGAUACCGUCAGCAGUAUCCCGUAUUAGGGGAUACCUUUUCUUCUCUGCCAAAAGUACUUUACAACCCGAAGGCCUUCAUCAUACACGCGGGAUGGCUGGAUCAGGGUUUCCCCCAUUGUCCAAAAUUCCCCACUGCUGCCUCCCGUAGGAGUCUGGGCCGUGUCUCAGUCCCAGUGUGGCUGGUCGUCCUCUCAAACCAGCUACGGAUCGUUGCCUUGGUGAGCCUUUACCCCACCAACUAGCUAAUCCGAUAUCGGCCGCUCCAAUAGUGAGAGGUCUUGCGAUCCCCCCGUUUCCCCGUAGGGCGUAUGCGGUAUUAGCCACUCUUUCGAGUAGUUAUCCCCCGCUACUGGGCACGUUCCGAUAUAUUACUCACCCGUCCGCCACUCGCCGCCAAGAGAGCAAGCUCUCUCGCGCUGCCGUUCGACUUGCAUGUGUAAAGCAUCCCGCUAGCGUUCAAUCUGAGCCAGGAUCAAACUC
rnacentral:rRNA from 1 species